rnacentral:rRNA from 1 species
GUACAGGAAGAAUAAGCUCCACGUGUGGAGUGAUGACGGUACUGUACGAAUAAGCACCGGCUAACUCCGUGCCAGCAGCCGCGGURAUACGGAGGGUGCAAGCGUUAUCCGGAAUCAUUGGGUUUAAAGGGUCCGUAGGCGGAUGUAUAAGUCAGGGGUGAAAGUUUGCCGCUUAACGGUAAAAUUGCCUUUGAUACUGUAUGUCUUGAAUACGUGUGAAGUGGUUAGAAUGUGUAGUGUAGCGGUGAAAUGCAUAGAUAUUACACAGAAUACCGAUUGCGAAGGCAGAUCACUAACACGUCAUUGACGCUGAUGGACGAAAGCGUGGGGAGCGAACAGGAUUAGAUACCCUGGUAGUCCACGCCGUAAACGAUGGAUACUAGCUGUUUGGCUUUCGGGCUGAGCGGCUAAGCGAAAGUGAUAAGUAUCCCACCUGGGGAGUACGUUCGCAAGAAUGAAACUCAAAUGAA